rnacentral:rRNA from 1 species
UACGGAGGGGGUUAGCGUUGCUCGGAAUUACUGGGCGUAAAGCGUGCGCAGGCGGAUUGACAAGUCAGAAGUGAAAUCCCGGGGCUCAACCCCGGAACUGCCUUUAAAACUACUAGUCUAGAGUUCGAGAGAGGUGAGUGGAAUUCCGAGUGUAGAGGUGAAAUUCGUAGAUAUUCGGAGGAACACCAGUGGCGAAGGCGGCUCACUGGCUCGAUACUGACGCUGAGGUGCGAAAGUGUGGGGAGCAAACAGG